rnacentral:rRNA from 1 species
UUGACCUCGGAUCAGGUAGGGAUACCCGCUGAACUUAAGCAUAUCAAUAAGCGGAGGAAAAGAAACCAACAGGGAUUACCUCAGUAACGGCGAGUGAAGCGGUAACAGCUCAAAUUUGAAAGCUGCCAACAGGCCGCAUUGUAAUUUGUAGAAGAUGCUUUGGGUGUUGACCUAGUCUAAGUUCCUUGGAACAGGACGUCAUAGAGGGUGAGAAUCCCGUAUGUGAUUAGUGUCAGCCCCCGUGUAAAGCUCUUUCGACGAGUCGAGUUGUUUGGGAAUGCAGCUCAAAAUGGGUGGUAAAUUUCAUCUAAAGCUAAAUAUUGGCCAGAGACCGAUAGCGCACAAGUAGAGUGAUCGAAAGAUGAAAAGCACUUUGGAAAGAGAGUUAAACAGUACGUGAAAUUGUUGAAAGGGAAGCGCUUGCAAUCAGACUUGCAGGCAGUCGAUCAUCCGAGGUUCUCCUCGGUGCACUCGAUUGUCUUCAGGCCAGCAUCGGUUUCGGUGGUGGGAUAAAGGCUGUGGGAAUGUGGCUCUUCGGAGUGUUAUAGCCCACGGUGCAAUGCCGCCUACCGGGACCGAGGACCGCGCUUCGGCUAGGAUGCUGGCGUAAUGGUUGUAAGCGACCCGUCUUGAAACACGGACCAAGGAGUCUAACAUCUAUGCGAGUGUUUGGGUGUCAAACCCAUACGCGUAAUGAAAGUGAACGGAGGUGAGAACCCUUUAGGGUGCAUCAUCGACCGAUCCUGAUGUCUUCGGAUGGAUUUGAGUAAGAGCAUAGCUGUUGGGACCCGAAAGAUGGUGAACUAUGCGUGAAUAGGGUGAAGCCAGAGGAAACUCUGGUGGAGGCUCGCAGCGGUUCUGACGUGCAAAUCGAUCGUCAAAUUUGGGUAUAGGGGCGAAAGACUAAUCGAACCAU